rnacentral:rRNA from 1 species
CGCAAGCCUGACGGAGCAACGCCGCGUGUGGGAAGAAGGCUCUUGGGCUGUCAACCACUUUUCUCAGGGAAGAAGCACUGACGGUACCUGAGGAAUCAGCCUCGGCUAACUCCGUGCCAGCAGCCGCGGUAAUACGGAGGAGGCAAGCGUUAUCCGGAAUUAUUGGGCGUAAAGCGUCCGCAGGGGGCACAUCAAGUCUGCUGUUAAAGGCUGGAGCUUAACUCCGGUAGAGCAGUGGAAACUGGUGUGCUAGAGGGCGACAGGGGUAGAGGGAAUUCCCAGUGUAGCGGUGAAAUGCGUAGAUAUUGGGAAGAACACCAGUGGCGAAGGCGCUCUACUGGGCUGCAACUGACGCUGAGGGACGAAAGCUAGGGGAGCG